rnacentral:snRNA from 1 species
GUGCUCGGCAGCACACACACUAAAAUUGAAGGCAGAGACGAUUAGCAUGGCCCCUGUGCAAGGAUGACACGCAAGUCUGUGAAGGGUUCCAUAUUAAA